rnacentral:rRNA from 1 species
GGCCAGACUCCUACGGGAGGCAGCAGUGAGGAAUAUUGGUCAAUGGGCGGAAGCCUGAACCAGCCAAGUCGCGUGAGGGAAAAAGGCCCUACGGGUCGUAAACCUCUUUUGCCGGGGAGCAAGGGCGGGGACGUGUCCCGGCCCGGAGAGUACCCGGAGAAAAAGCAUCGGCUAACUCCGUGCCAGCAGCCGCGGUAAUACGGAGGAUGCGAGCGUUAUCCGGAUUUAUUGGGUUUAAAGGGUGCGUAGGCGGGCUUUUAAGUCAGCGGUAAAAAUUCGGGGCUCAACCCCGUCCGGCCGUUGAAACUGGGGGCCUUGAGUGCACGCAGGGAUGCCGGAAUUCAUGGUGUAGCGGUGAAAUGCUUAGAUAUCACGAAGAACCCCGAUUGCGAAGGCAGCCUGCCGCAGCGUUACUGACGCUGAAGCUCGAAAGCGCGGGUAUCGAACAGGAUUAGAUACCCUUGUAC